rnacentral:lncRNA from 7 species
GAGUGGCUUGAUGUUCUGAUUGUUCCUGAUGCUCCUGAGGCUUGACCCCUUAUUGGAUAUCCAGGAUCAAUGGAAAUCAGAGAAAGUGAGUUGCAUAUGGAAUGAGCCCGUUCCCCAGAGGCCAGGCCCUCUGUCUUGCCAUGGAUGCUGGAAGGAAGCCGUGACAGAGCAAAGCAGAAGCCGUCAGGGAAAGAAGAGGAAGCAUUUGUGAGUUACGCAGUUGUGUUAGAUUAUUAGAUUAAAAAUUAGAUUCUGUCCUUGCCUUUUCCUGCUGUGCCUGACUGCCUGGGGACUCUGACACGUGGGAGCUGGGAGGCACGAUUCCAUCUGGGUGAAAGCACAGGAGGACAGUGUUUGACCGGGGUAGAGAAUCAUAGAACCAUUAAGGUUGGGUAGACCACUAAGUCUGACCGUCAGCCCAUCAGAGUUGCAGAAGGAGGCUGAGCACAGCCUCAGCUCCUGACAUUUGUUAGCUGUCUUCUUGUCAGGGCUGGGAGAGCCUCUGUGUGAAAGAGAAAAUGAAGGUAACACUCAUCGCUGCGUCACUGAUGUGUAGCAGAGGCUUAGCACAGCCUGGGCAGGGCUGAAAGCGGCUGCAGCCUGAGAGGAGUGUGGAGCGGGAGGUGAGGAGUAGCCACAGUUUGGCAAAAUCAAGCUUUUAGAAGGGAGAAAAAAGGUAAUUUUACAGUCACUGGAGAUGCAGCAGAGGAUAACUCAGGGAAAAGAAACACACACACACACAAAAACCCUAAAAAAAAACCCUUCGAUUAGUUCUCGUAAAGAAAGCAGGGCUCCCACCCCUCGAGGAGGCCCGAUGGGCAGCACCGGGCAGUGCCGGGCGGCGGCGGCCACGGGGCGGCGGUGUUGGG